UAUCCAUUGGCAAUAUGUAUUCCAUUGUCAAAAGAGAUGGUCUGUGUCAUGUCUUGAUAUUGUAUGAAUAGGAAUCAGCAUGAAAAUCAUGUUUGGUGUUAUCUAUUGGUAUAUGUGUACUGUUGUCAAAUUUAGAUGGUCUGUGUCAUGUCUUGAUAUUGUUAUAUAAUUGUAAAUUUUG